GACGAACGCUGGCGGCGUGCUUAACACAUGCAAGUCAAACGGUAAGGCCCUUCGGGGUACACGAGUGGCGAACGGGUGAGUAACACGUGGGUGAUCUGCCCUGCACUUCGGGAUAAGCCUGGGAAACUGGGUCUAAUACCGGAUAGGACUCCGGACUGCAUGGUCUGGGGUGGAAAGCUUUUGCGGUGUGGGAUGGGCCCGCGGCCUAUCGGCUUGUUGGUGGGGUGAUGGCCUACCAAGGCGACGACGGGUAGCCGGCCUGAGAGGGUGACCGGCCACACUGGGACUGAGAUACGGCCCAGACUCCUACGGGAGGCAGCAGUGGGGAAUAUUGCACAAUGGGCGCAAGCCCGAUGCAGCGACGCCGCGUGAGGGAUGACGGCCUUCGGGUUGUAAACCUCUUUCAGCAUCGACGAAGCGAAAGUGACGGUAGGUGCAGAAGAAGGACCGGCCAACUACGUGCCAGCCGCCGCAGUAA
rnacentral:rRNA from 1 species